AGAUCCAAGCUUCUACAAUCGAUCUAGCACGUAAAGUUACAAACUUUACAUGCUUGCAUGGGACUUUGAGCUCAAAAGGACAUAAAACAAGCUCAUAUGGAACAUGGGACCUUUCAUGGGUGCAAAAGCAAUCCAAAUCUGCCUAGUGACUCCUUUCAUGCUGUGAAUCAGAAGCUUAAACCCCCAACCAUGUUUGCAAACAUGGUUGGCCACCAAAAAUAGCUCAUAAAAGCCUAAACCUCCCCAAAAUGAAUGAACAAGGUCACAAAUUUUUACCUUCAAUGAGCUGAAGAAGGUGCACAAACUCAGGUUCCCUUGAUCUCUACUUGCUUCCUCAAGCUUCUCUCCUUCCUUCUUAAGACCACAAACACCAAAAUCCACCAACAAGGCUUAGAUUGCUUCAAAAACGGCUAGGGUUUCAGUGAGAGGGGUGUUUGGGAGCAUAAAGGAGUGAUGGAGGCUGCAUAAGGUCGAUUAAAUAGGGUGUAAACCCCUGGAUUAGGGUUUUUGUCCACUCAGCGGCUACUCGCAGAGUCCACAACUUAAACUCCGUGUCUCAUCCCGCUUCUACUCGGCGAGUCAGUCCUUCGACUCGCCGAUUCCAAGGCCAAAAUUGCAAAUCAUUAAAAGAAUUAAAUACAAAAAUACGUACCAAGAGCCAGGUGCUACAAAUCUCCCCCACUUAUUUUAGACUUCGUCCUCGAAGUCUGCUGCUCGCUCUUGAAACAGCUCGGGGUAAUGCUCCAUCAUUUCGUCCACCGGCUCCCAAGUCCACACCGACCCCUUCCGGUGCUGCCAUUGCACCUUCACAAGUUCCACUCUUUUGUUCCUCAGAUCCUUCGACUUCCGAUCAAGGAUCGCUACAGGCCGCUCGAUGUAAUUCAGACUGCCAUCAACCUGAAUAUCCUCCAGGGGUACUACUGCUGAGUCGUCCACCAAGCACUUUCGCAACUGAGAAACAUGGAAAGUGUUGUGGAUCUAACUGAGUUCAGCUGGAAUAUCCAGCCAGUACGCCACCUUGCCCACCCGGGCUACAACCCUAAAUGGUCCAAUAAACCUGGGACCCAACUUGCCCCGUUUCCUGAAUCGGAUGACGCCCUACCAAGGCGGCACCUUCAGUAGAACCAUAUCCCCGACCUGGAACUCCAGGUCUGAUCGACGCUUAUCGGCAUAACUUUUCUGCCGGCUCUAAGCAGUCUGAAGCCUGCUCCAGACCUGCUGAAUCUUCUUUGUCUUCUUGAGCACUACUUCGGUGCUCCCCAUGACCCUCUGGCCAACCUCGCCCUAGCAUAUCGGGGUCCUGCACCUCCUCCCAUACAACAUCUUGAAGGGAGGACGGUCGAUACUCGCAUGAUAGCUAUUAUUAUACGAGAACUCCGCCAACGGAAGGUAGGUCUCCCAGCUACCUCCGAAGUCUAAAACGCAUGCUUGCAGCAUGUCCUCUAGAGUCUGGAUGGUUUGCUGGCUCUGGCCAUCCGUCUGCGGGAGAAAAGCAGUGCUAAAAUGCAGACGAGUACCCAGCUCGUCAUGGAAUUUCUUCCAGAAUCUGGAAGUAAACCGUACAUCUCUGUCUGAAAUCAUGGAGACCGGCACUCCGUGCCACGCCACCACCUCUCGGAUGUAGAUAUCGGCCAACUUCUCGGCCGAGAUACUCUCCUGGAUCAAUAUAAAGUGGGCACUCUUGGUCAACCGAUCUAUGAUGACCUAUAUAGAAUCCACUCCCCGUGCGGUCCUGGGAAGCUUGGUGAUGAAAUCCAUCGUGAUGUCUUCCCAUUUCCACAAUAGAAUCUACAACGGUUGCAUCUUUCCGUGGGGCCUCUGGUGCUUGGCCUUGACCUUCCUGCAGGUCAAGCACUGCUCCACGUACCAAUCUAUAUCCCGCUUCAUGCAGGGCCACCAAUAAUCCAGACGAAGAUCCCUAUACAUCUUCGUCGCCCUGGGAUGAAUGGAGAACCGGGAUUUGUGCGCCUCCUCCAUCAGAACCUAGCGCACGCCUCCAUGAUAAGGGAACCACACCCUACGGUGAAGAGUCAAUAACCCUCAGCUAUCAUAGUCGAAGGAGGAAACCUGCCCCACAAUCCGCUCACUCUUUCGAUGUUCCUCCUUCAUAGCCUCCUGCUGAGCCUCCCGAAUCCGCUCCAGCAGCGGAGUCACCACUGUCAUCCUCAGGCAGAUAUCUCGGAUCGGCGCUGCCUUGCGGCUAAGCGCGUCAGCCACCACAUUGUCUUUCCCCGGAUGGUAAAGGAUCUCGCACUCAUAAUCCUUUACCACGUCAAGCCACCGACGCUGCCUAAUGUUUAGAUUCGGAUGGUCCAUAAGAUACCUCAGGCUCUUGUGGUCCGUGUAGAUGGUACAACAAACCCCAUAGCCAAAUCUUGAGGGCGAACACAACAGCCCCCAGCUCCAAAUCAUGCGUCGGGUAGUUCGCCUCGUGAGGCUUCAGCUGCCUCGAAGCGUAAGCAAUAACGUGCCCUCUCUGCAUCAACACUGUGCCCAAACUUGAGAUGGACGCAUCGCAGUACACAACAAAAUCCUCCAUGCCCUCUGGCAGGGCUAAGAUUGGCGCCUUGCACAAUUUCUGUCUCAACGUCUCGAAUGCAGCCUGCUGCUCGGGCCCCCAACAAAAAACCACAGCUUUCCUUGUCAGCCUGGUCAGGGAUACGACUAUCUUGGAGAAGUCCUGAAUGAAUCUCCGAUAGUAGCCUACCAAUCCUAGGAAGCUCUGAAUCUCAGAUGGAGACCUUGGCACCUCCCAUCUCAUCACGGCCUCUACCUUGGCCGGAUCCACUGAUAUCUCGUCCUGGUUGACAAGGUGCCCCAGAAACUGCACCUCGCGUAACUAGAACUCACACUUGGAGAACUUAGCAUAUAAGAUCUCCCUCCUCAAAGUACUCAAAACCUCACGCUAGUGCUCCUCAUGUCGCUCUCGCGUCUUGGAAUAAACCAAGAUAUCCUCAAUGAAAACAAUCACAGACCGAUCCAACAUCGGCCGACACACGCGACUCAUGAGAUCCAUGAACGCGGCAGGAGCAUUGGUGAGCCCGAAAGGCAUCACCACAAACUCGUAAUGCCCAUAGCAUGUCCGAAAAGCAGUCUUCUGCACAUCCUCCUCUCUGAACCUCAUCUGAUGAUACCCUGAUCGCAAAUCAAUCUUGGAGAACCAAGAUGCUCCCUGAAGCUGGUCGAAGAAGUCAUCGAUCCUCGGGAGUGGGUAACGGUUCUUCACCGUUACCUUAUUCAGCUCCCGAUAGUCUAUACACAUCCGAUGCGACCCGUCCUUCUUCUUCACAAACAGAAUCGGGGCUCCCCAGGGUAAACUACUCGGUCUAAUGAUUCCCUUGUCUAACAGCUCCUGCAGCUGUGUAGACAACUCCUGCAUCUUAGAAGGAGCCAACCGAUACGACGCCUUGGCCAUCGGAGUCGCACCAGGGACUAGGUCGAUCCUAAACUCCACCUGCCUCUCCGUAGGUAUCCCAAGCAACUCCUCGGGGAAUACAUCCAUAAACUCCCACACCACGGGUACAUCACCCACUGUCGCCUUACCCGCCUCCCGGGUGUCCAUAACAUAUGCGAUAUACCAUGUGCAACCCUGCUGAAGGUAGCGCCUAACUCUCGCUGUUGAACAUACAGCUGGUCCUCGCUGUGGCCUUUCGCCCUGAACUACCAACUCUCCCCCACUUGGGGUCCUGAUCCGUACCAGCUGGUGUGCAAAAUCUAUCACUUCCCCAUUGGGGCUCAACCAAUCCAUGCCUAUAAUAACCUUGUUCCCCCGCAAUGGUAUGGGAACCAAGUCUACCAGGUAACGUUCCUCGAACAGCCUCAAAACAUAAUCUCGGUAGACCUACGAUGCUCCCACUGAUCGGUCGUCUACAAUCUCGACCUCUAGAGGGCAGUCCAACAUUCCCGGAGGCUCAGGAAACUUCUUGCUAAGCGCAAGAAAGACAAUUGAUCAGGUAGCACCCGAAUCAAACAACACCUGAACUAGGAUACCAUUCACAUGGAACGAUCCUAAACGCAUAUACACAGAGCACAUAUCAAUAUCAUAACAUCAUACAAAUAAAUCAGAGGAAAAUAAUCAUACCUGUCACUACAUCGGGUGCAGCGCGUGACUCUUCGGCUGUCAGCUGAAAAGCUCGGCUCUGAACCACUGGAGCCUCUGACUUGACCUUCCGGCCAUCCAUAACUCAAGUUGUCGCUGACGCUGGCGCCACUGUCGGCGUUGGUGCUGCUGUCAACUUGGGACAAUUGGCCUUUUUAUGGCCUCUCUGGUUGCAAUGGAAGCAAAUCAGGUCUGAUGUCUGAAUCGCCGAAGCAGGGGCAGUACAAUCUCUGCCAAAAUGCCCCACAUUGCCGCACUUAUAUCAGCCUGAACCCGGCCCAGUGCGAAAAACUCCCUCAUGUGACCAACCGCAUUUCCCACAGUGGUCCCGCCCUGACUGGCCUUUUGGCCUACCAUCGGAUCCCAUGGGCUUCUUCCCCGAAGUCCCCAUCGCCUGCCCCUCAGCGGACUUCCUCUUCCGUAUGUGCUCCAAAUCAAUCUCUCUCUCCCUAACCCUGGCAAUCAUGGACUCCAGGGUAGGGCAAGCAGAGAAACUAAGAUGCUCCUGAAUAUCAGCCCGUAGCAUGUCAUGGUAUCAGGUCCUCCUCAUAUCCUCUUCCCCCGCAUACUGGGGUACCAACAAGGCCCUCUCCCGGAACUUGGCGAUGAUCUCCGCUACAGUCUCCGUGGUCUGUCUCAUAACCAAGAACUCUCUGGCCAGCUACUGAAGCUCCACAGCUGGUGCAAACUCAGCCCUGAAUCGGGUCACGAAAUCUGACCAUGACAUACCCUCAAUGGCUGGGGCUCCCAACGUAUCGCCAAUCAACUCCCACCAAUCUCUGGCUCUAUCCCUCAAACAACCUGCAGCGAAACGGACCUUCAACCCUUCUGGACAGAAGCUCGUUAGCGGAGCAGACUCGAUGUCUGUGAUCCAUCUCCUAGCAGCAAUGGGGUCCUUCACCCCAUGAAAAUCCGGCGCACCACUCCCACGGAAAUCCUUAAAGGACAGUGUGCGUGUACCUACCUGGCUAGAAGCCAUAUCACUCCUGAAUGCCCAGAGGUGAUCCUCCGUCAGCUCGAUAAUCCCUUCCUUGAUCGACCCAAAAAUGAUCACGGUCGCCUCAAGGAUACCUCUCGUAAUCUCAGAUGCGAUGAACUCGCGUAACCCAUCAUCGACAUGCUCGGAGCUUACUCCCAAACCCGAUCCUAAACCAGAUCCUGAUCCCCCUGCUCCAUGACGUGUGACCACCAUUCUGAAAUAAUAACACAAUUGUCAGAAUCACAUAUACCCCCGAAAGGUCUUACACACUCUCCAAGUUUCCAGGUUCCAUCUUGGCCCUCCUUGAAUCGAGUAUGGAUCCUCUGCUUUCAGUAGUACGGGCCCAUACUACCUUCCACAUCUAUCCGUACUUUCCUCAAGGAUUUCCUUGACUUCAACAAGUCCCUUUUUACCGAUGCUCUUCCUACUGAUCACAUCCUAGGUUUCCUUAGGGCACUCGCCGACAUCUCCCCGCCAUCAGCUGCAUUAGGAGUCCUUACCACGUCCCCCUAACUAGUUUGCGGAUACUGUUACAUAUCCGUUCACCAGUUAGUCGAAGUUGGCCAGGACCCCCAUAGCAUAAGCAAGCAGCAUUUGUGCGUUGAGUAACCAAACCAGGCAUAACCUACACAGGCCAUCCUACAGCUGACUAAACAGUCCUAGCAUAAAGCUCAUACAACAUGCAUAUAAGGAAUCCUUCCUAAAUCCUUAGCCCUAACUAGCAUGCAAUUCUCAGAAUCAUAUAUCAGGCAAACAAGGCAUCCUCCUAGACCCUUAGUCCUAUUCUAGCAUGCGGUUUCCUGAAUCAGAACCAUACAGCAUAACAUAACAAGUAUGGGUAUCUUGGGGAAAGCUUACUUGAGCCCGGCCGGUCGCACACAUCACACACUUCGUCUUUCUUAAAACUUCCCAUUUUAGAUUUUAGAAAACCAUUUUUCUUGUAAAAAUCUUUUUGUCCCUUGGCUUGAGUCCAGACAUCCCCGAGUGUGUGUCCGAAUCCCUCAAACUAGGGCUCUGAUACCAACUUGUAACGUCCCAAAAUUCAAGCCCAAAAAUUUCAUUUUAAUUAUUUAUUUCAUAAAAGCAUUCAUUAGAAAAUACUAUGCCAACACGUCAUUUCAUAAAACAAUGUAUCAUGUUUGAAACCCACGUCAUAAACAAAUAUCAUAUCAGAGUACAAUCCCAGAAAACUUCGUGCGGAAAAUCAUAAGUGUGUGUGAUGUCAUGCUACACCGCCGACUCCUUCCCCUUAGACGAAGAGGUACCUGAAACCAAAAACUAAAACCGUAAGCACAAAGCUUAGUGAGUUCCCCAUCAUACCACAUGCCAUACAAUACCAUCGGUAUCUUUCAACUGGUAAUCAUCAUCAGUAUCUUUCAACCGAUAAUCAUCAUCGGUAUCUUUCAACCGGUAAUCAUCAUCGGUAUCUUUCAACCGGUAACUGGGGUCUAUUUCGCCUCCUACUACUAGCAUACAACAACAAGGUAUAAGCAUAAAAUCAGGCAUAUCCACGUACUGACCUACUCUUCGGUCCUAAGGGCCCCUGCCAGGGGAAAACUAUCCCUAUCAUACACGUAACAUAUCAUACAAAUAUAUCUCAUAACUAAACACAUAUCCGUACCAAGAUAAUUAUCACAAAGACAAUCAUCUUCUAAAAUACUCCUACUUGGUGGGUCGGCAUUGUGGCCUUAGGCCCACCCCUAAUGGAAGGUAACUCACCUCAAAAGGCUGGCUGCUGAAAAGCUGAUCCGCAAAUGUCUAACAGCUGCUCCAGUGAUCCCCCCGGCUAUAUUUCCAUAAAACACUUAAUCAGACAUUGAUACUAUUCCAGUAUUCCUAGGGUAAAAUGACUAUUUUACCCCAGACCGAUUCCAAACCAAAGUCAAGUCAAAGUCAAAGUCAACUUCCAGUUGACCCGGCUCGCCGAGUCAACUUGCCAACUCGCUGAGUCUGUAACACCCAUAAUAAGAAAGACCAAGAAAGGAAAGAAAAACCCUAAGUCAAAGGGUCAACUCGUCGAGUCCAGAGAGGGACUCGGCGAGUUGGAACGGGAUCCGGGGGAUCGAUUAAGUAGCCGACUCGGUGAGUCGGCAAAGAGGACUCAGCGAGUCCAGUCUAAAGAAGGAAACCCUAAAUCCGGGACUUUUUGCACUAUUUAAACAUCUCAUUCUCCUUCUAUCAGCCUCAUUUGUAGCCCCCAUUGUCCAGAAGUUAUCCCACGAAACCCUAGUGCUCUCUUUGAGUGUGUGAGCCAAUAUUGAAGGAUUUUGAGUGUUCUUGAAGCCUAGAAGGAGAACAAGGAGUUGAGGGUUCAAGAGGAAGGUUGUGGAUCCAGAAGAUUCAUCUCUUUUGCUGCUCAUUUUGGUAACCAAGCUCCUUCCUUGUCUUGUUAUUUGUUAGGACUCUUCAUGUCCCUCCUUAUGAGAAUUUGGACCAAGUAUGAUACAAUUCGGGAUUUGGACGUCCUUAAGAUGGAUCCCUUCAGCUCUAGGUGCGUCUUGGCCUAGAGACCCAUAAAGUAUCAGUUUUUGGUGUGUUGGUAAAGCAUCCCUCGGGGGUUAGCCCUAGGCGCGGUAUGCUAGAAUAAUAUUCAGGACCAAGGUCCAAGGAUAGCGGGCGGGUGCCCAGGGAAUGGUUUAUAUGAUAGUUAUACUUGUUGUCUGUGUCAUACAUGUAUGUGCCUGGUAAGGAGGUGAGUGUGGGCGAGGUCCCGUAUCUCACCAGUAGCAGAGUGUGGAUGGUGUUGCACAUCUCAUUAGCAGCAGAACAGGGGCGAGGCCCAAGUUAGGGAAGGAGUGAGUGUGGGUUGGGCCCGUAUCUCACUAUCAGNNNNNNNNNNNNNNNNNNNNNNNNNNNNNNNNNNNNNNNNNNNNNNNNNNNNNNNNNNNNNNNNNNNNNNNNNNNNNNNNNNNNNNNNNNNNNNNNNNNNNNNNNNNNNNNNNNNNNNNNNNNNNNNNNNNNNNNNNNNNNNNNNNNNNNNNNNNNNNNNNNNNNNNNNNNNNNNNNNNNNNNNNNNGGGGCCGUUGUAGCGGGCGAGGCCCGAAGUAGCGGGCGUGGCCCAGUAUAUGUUGUAUGUGUUUAUGCAGGGUAUGUGGUAGGUUGGGGAACUCACUAAGCUUUGUGCUUACGGUUUUCAGUUUUGGUUUCAGGUACUUCCGGUAGCAGAAAGAAGAGCUCGGGGGUGAUUGCAUGACACACACCAUUGAUUAGUCAGCCUGGGAUGUUUAACUCUGAUAAUGUAAAUAUGUUUUGGAAAUGAUGCUAUGAAUCUAUGUUAUGACUUAUGAUAUGUUUUUAUGAAUAUGGUUUUGGUAAUGAUUUAAAGAAAAUUUUUGGUACGAAUUUUGAGACGUUACAAGUUGGUAUCAGAGCCUUGGUUUGAUGGAUUCGGACAUACUCUCGGGUCUGUCUGAACUCAAACUAAGGGAUUGGUCUAGAAAUUUUUCAAAAUGAAAAGACAAUUUUGUAAAAAGAGUUUUUAGAAAUGAAACAGUUAUUGAAAAGCGAAAAGAAUUCAGAAAGAAAAGAUUUUUGAUAAGAGAAAAGGGUGUGGUGCAUGCAACCAGCCGAGCUCAAGUAAGUUCCCCAAAAUACUCAUACAAGUUUAUGUUAUGAUUAUCAGUUAGUAGAACAACAUGCUAGAUUAGGACUAAGGAUCUAGGGAGGAUGCCUUAUGUGCCUGUUAUAUGUGUUUUGAGCUGGAUGAUAGUGUUGAUUAGACAGUAGUAGGAUAGCCUGCUUAGGUUAUGCCUGAAUUUAUGAGCUUAUGUCGCAUGCUAGUGCAGAUUCUCGAUAUGAGAUUAUGAUUGCUUGAGUAUGUUAUGGUUAGAUUUUCCCUUGUCUGAAUGUUGCUGGCUUUGUGCAUUGUGGGAUUCUGAGUGAUGGGAAUUAGCCAUUAGGUGGAUACGUCGCAUCACAUGUGAUCAUGGCUGAAUAAUCUUAUAGUACUGGAUUUGGCCUUAUUGCGUAGCUCUUGUCUUAGUCCAACCGUUGUAGGGACGAGUCUCUUACUUGAAGGAUUAUCUGAGCCUCAUCACAUGUGAUCGUAUUCAGGUGAUGUCUAAUUGGCAUCACAAGGAGGCCUUAAGCAGCUGAGGGCUGGUUUGGGUGUAGUCAGAGGUUUCUCUAGGGUAAGCCUAGGAUGAGAUAGUAUUGGGAGCAAUAAUAGUAGGAAAAAGGACCUAGUGGGGUUGAAGCAGUUCUUGAGGAAAGUACGGAUAAAUGUGGAAGGUAGUAUGGGCCCGUACUACUGAAAGCAGAGGAUCCGUACUCAAUUCAAGAAAGGCCAAGACGAGACUUGGGAACUUGUAGUGUGUGUAUGAUCCCCCAGUAGUGAGGAGUAUUCUGAUAGUAUUGCGAUAUGUUUUCAAUAUGGUGACAUUGCGAGAGAGACCAGUGGACGGAUCAGGCACCGGAGAGGGAUCAGGCUCGGGUUUAGGGGCCGAGCAGCUCGAGGAGCGAAUGAGGGAGUUGAUAUUAGCUGAGGUUACGCGCAGUAUCCUAGAUCAGACUCCUGUGAUCUUUGUCACGAUCAAGGAGGGUAUACUUGAGAUCUUGGAUGAGAGGCUGGGAGCCUUUCGUACCUGUUGGGUCCAUUAUGUGUUGCGUCUUGGGCUCGGUCCUUAGCCUAAUUUUGUCUCCGGAUUGGGCCUGUCCAUCCGUGAUUUAAUUAUUAGGGUUUAGUAUUUAUAGAUGCUUGCAUGCAUCUUUGUACGUAGCUAUUUAGUCGAUCAUUCAAAGCGAUCACUAUUUUUAUCGAUUGUAACCCUAAAAGCGUCUACAGUGGAAGUUCUUCAUCGAGCUCUGCUGAGGCGUGAAUCUAUUGAAUCAUUCAGCUCAUUUUUUAUUCAUUCUCUUGUUUGUUAUUUUGUUUGCAUUAUUCUGAUUAACCUGUGUAAGAUCUAAACGAUCAAAGAGUUUUUCAACUCAUUAAUUGGUAUCAGAGCAGAAGGCUGUGUAAUUCAUACACAUCUCUUCUGUCAAAGAAGUGAUUAGGGUUCAUUCCGCAUUCAUUGAUAUUUAUUGAGCCGUCACUCCAUAAUUGACAUAUCUCAUUAAUUAUUAAUCUUGCCCUAAUAUUAUGUAUUACAAAGUCUAAUCUUAUAAUAGGUUAAACGAUCAAGCAUGGACGAUUCUCGAUCCAAUCCCAUCAACAUCUCUAACUGCAUCGGAUCAACAAGCAAGAUCCCAAUCCUGUACACGCAAGACUAUGAAGUGUGAACGCACCAUUUUGAAGAUUACGUUAUUGGAUCCGAAGGUAACGGGUAUCUGAUAUGGGAAGCACUCACAGUUGGCCCCUUCGCUCACUCAAACACUUCAAAAAUCAUUAAAACUCAGAAGGAGUACAAUGAUCUAUUAAAAGAUGUGAAGGACGUCACUCAGGACGAAAAGGAGAAGUUCCAAUGCAACAUUAAGGCAUUGAGACUAAUUCGAUUCGCCCUUCAAUCCGACACGUUUCGUUUAGUAAGUUCAUGUGGUACAGCAAAGGAAAUAUGGGAUCGGCUGCGAGAGCUGUAUUCCACAGAUGAAGAUCCGGAGCACUCGAUUCAAACCUUACUUAUCUCCGAAUUUGGAGUGUUCAAGCAGAAGCCAGAGGAGGUUGUUACACAAACAUUCGAUUGGUUCAAUCAUCUUCUCAGUAAGAUGAUCAAACAUGACAUAGAAAGAAAGCUCAUCGAAUAGAAGGUCACUUUCUUAAAUGGCCUACGACCCGAAUGGAGGGCGGUUGUGUCGACAGUUAAAGCACAUGAGCAGUUCAAAUCCUAUUCUUUAGCGAAACUUGUGGGGAUUCUGAAAUCCUAGGAAAAGAUUGUGUUGCAAGAGAAGAGCAUGGUUUCAAACUUGGGGUCUUUGGCCCUUCUGUCUAAAGGUAAGAGCGCAGCAGAAGAAGAAGAAGAUCUGAAUCUGGGAGACUACAAUCUGACAUCUGAAGAUUAUGCAAUGAUGGUGUCAAAUCCCAGGAGGUUCAUCAAGAAGAAGUUCCCUACCAACAAGAACCGAAAUUGGCAGGGAAGCUACAGCUCUGAAAAAGCGAAAGAGGAGCCGAAGGUUGAAGAACCAAAGAAAGAAGCGAAGGGUGAAGUUGAUUCUGGUGUCAGCUGUUUUUACUGUGGAGGGAAAAAUCACUACGCAAAAGAUUGCGUGUUGAAGAAAAUGGAAGAGAAAGAUGAGGAGAAGGAUGAAGAAGCAAAUCUCCUGAAAAGACUGGAGGGGAUUAAAAGGAAGAAAGCUGCUACUAAUCCCUCUAUGAAUGCUCUAGUUGUGCAGGAUUCGGUAGAUGAUGAUGAGUUCGGUGGUGUACAGGUGUGGUCAACCGACUCAGAAGAUGAUGAAGUGAGAAAGCCUACUCAUGGAAAGGCUUAUGUGGCGAAGAGUGGUGAUGCUAAUGGAAGGUGUUUGAUGGUGACAGAUAUAUCCCAGAUGAGGGGAUACAACACUGAUGAUGGAAAUAAAGUGGCUAAGGAGCGAGAGGACGUGUGCUUUACAGCGAAGCCUCUCAGUGUGCAGAUCAGUGAACUUGAUGAACUGAUCAAGAAGGUACAAUCCAUUUUUGUUUCGUUUAAAAUUCCACAAACAUCAUAUGAAAAAGAAUUAAAUAACUUGAAUUUAAGAAUUUCAAAUCUAGAUAGUUGUUUAACUCAAACACGAGUCACGAAUUCUAAUCUGACUGACCAAAUGGGCAGGGUGUCAUCCAAGAGUGAGGAACGGAGAAUGUGGAUUGAGCAGAAAGAGUUGGAGAUGGUUAAGUCUAGGGAUGAAAAUAUCUAUUUGCAAAGAGACAAUCUUAAGUUGUUAAAACAGAGAAAUGUUGUUUUGUUUGNACAUUACACAACUGCAUUUAGACUGUGAAAUAGGCCAGAAAAUACAUCGCAUGAUUUUGCCCUUCCUUGAGCUAAAGGAGGAUGAAAUCGAUGCCGAAGCAUACAACUGUGAAAGUGUUGUAUCUUCAGAUGAUGUAAAUCCCACUUAUAAGUUUGGUCUGGACAAAAUUGAAUCGUUUAUAAAGUCCAAAGACCAUAAGGACAUGCUUAAGAACCUUUUGGAUGAAAAUGAUAGGUUGAAACUCAGAGUCGAAACUAUACAAAAAUUUGACUCAUUGAGUACCAAAUUAAGUUCAGAAAAUAAAAUUGAUGUUGAAAAUACAUCUGAACUAAAUGAGGACAAUGACAUGAGUGAAAUCUAUGUAGAGGAUGAGGUUGACUGUUCAGAGUUUAUUAGGAGCGAACCUGAAAACAACAAAAACUUGAUUUCUGAAAAUUCUGUGGAAUUCGCUCGUCUGUCCAAAAAUAAGUCCCCAAUCCUUAAAGAAAAGGUCGUUGUAUACCAAAAGGUAAAAACCACUCCCAAUCAGGUUUAUAAAGUCACAGGAGUAACCGAACAUCAGACAGCCGAACUCACUGCAUUGGUGAAUGAAGAUAAUGCAGAUGGAUGUGAUGCGUUUUUCUGGUCUGCACCGAUAGACAACACAGAUGAAACAGUUGGUUUGUCGGAGCGAACAUCAUGGAAGGUCAAAGGUAGAUAUGUGGCAGAACCACUUAACAAACCUACCAACUUUGACGUGCCCGAUACCAGUGGCACAAAAGAGGUUCCAGUGGAAUACGUCUCCUCAACAAGCGAAACCUCUUCCAUGGAAAGUGAACAUGUUGUUCAGAAGCCGAAACACAAGGCAAAUAUUCACAGACAACCGAAAUAGGUGAAUAAUCAAAAGCAGUAGAGGAAUCUGAGAUACAAGAAAAAUCUCUCAGAGCGAAACCAAUUUUGGCGCUCCCAAAAUCCUCACUAUACUCACUUUGAUAGAAACUCCAAGCCGAAAGGAGAAGAGAAUAAGAAUAAAAGGGGCUUCGGUCCGUUGGAUCAAAAGAAAAAAAAGAAGACUUUCGGGCCACAGAAAGAACAAGACCGGAAGGAUAGGUUCGGUCAUGAAAGUAACAACCGAAAGUCUGAUUUCGGUUCACCAAACAACAACAAACAAAGACCAAGGUUUAGUCCAUCAGGCUUUUACAAUCGAAAAGCUAGUUUCGGUCCAUCAACAAAUAGCAACCGAAGGUCCAGGUUCGGUCCCUCAAAUGAUCACAACCGAAAGGUUCAUUUUGAACCUCAAGUCAGGAAAGAUUCUCAUUCUAAUUUCUAUUCCUCUAAUUCUUCUCGUUCUCAUUCUUCCUCUAAGCCUAAUUCUCGUCUUACACCAAGUUCACAAUCGACGAAGGAUUUGAAAGGAAAAAGGAAGAUUUCCUCAGCAAAUGAAGACUGAAAGCAAGCUAACGUCCAAACUCCUGAACCUAAAUCCAAAACACUUGAAUAUAACUCCAAUAAAAUCAAAGUGUUUACUAUUAAGAGGAAAGAUGAAACUACAUUAAUAAAACGAACUUAUCUUGUUGAUGCUUCUCUUACUAUUCAUAUUUCUGUAAAAGGCUCACGAGGACUCAAGAAACUUUGGGUUCCUAAAUAUUCUUAAUUUUUGCAGGUUAUAUGUGACGAGCAGUUCAACGAAGAAUGGUACAUAGACAGUGGAUGCUCUCGUCACAUGACAGGAAGGAAGGAAGAGCUAAGGGAGUUUCGGUCCCUUCAAAACAGUGGUAACGUCAAGUUUGGUAACAACUCCUAUGGAACGAUAAAGGGUUAUGGGAUGAUAACCAAUGGGGACUUUACAAUCAGGAAGUUGGCUUAUGUAGAGGGGUUGCAGCAUAACCUCAUCAGUGUGUCUCAACUAGUGGGAGGUACAGGUCUCAAAGUCUCGUUCGAUGAUGAAGGUUCAGAGAUAAUAGAGAAGAAAUCCACCAAGGUUAUUCUCAAGUCAGAACGAAAAGGUGAAAUACUCCCUCUGAAUCUCAACCCAAUCAAAGGGAAUCCAGCCAUAUGUCUAUUGUCUAAAGCCCAUUCAGACGAAAGUUGGUUGUGGCACCGAAGGCUCUCACACCUCAACUUCAAAGACAUCAACAAGCUAGUCAUCAGUGGUCAGGUUCGGGGUCUUCCACUGCUUAAGUUCAAUCGAGAACACUUAUGUGCUGCUUGUGAAAUGGGGAAACAAAGUUGCCAAAGUCACCCAACAACCAUAAACACCAAAGUUGUUGAACCGCUUGAGUUGCUUCACAUCGACUUAUGUGGUCCAUCAUCAAUCGAGACCAUUGGCGGCAACAAGUACAUCCUUGUUAUUGUUGAUGACUUCUCACGGUUUACCUGUGUGUUCUUUCUAAAGCACAAAUAUGAGGCGACUCCCAAGCUGAAGAUCUUUAUCAAGCAGGUCGAAGUGCAACUGAGAAAAGUCGUUCGAAACAUCAGGAGCGACAAUGGACUGGAAUUCAAGAACAAAGAAUUCGAAGAUUUCUUAGAAGAAAAAGGCACCAGUCACAAUUUCUCAGCCCCUAUACACCUCAACAGAACGGAAUUGUUGAAAGGCGAAACCGAUCUCUGUGUGAGGCGGCCCGAACCAUGCCGAGUUUUGCCUCCCUUCCUCUAUGUUUUUGGGCAGACGCCAUUGCUGCAGCUUGUUUCACUCAAAACAGAUCUUAUCUCAACAAGCGUUUCUCUCUCACCCCCUAUGAGAUUCUUAACAUCAGGAAGCCGAAUGUCAAGUUCUUUCAUGUGUUCGGCUCGAGGUGCUUCAUUUUCAACUCCAAAGAGCAUCGCAACAAAUUCAAUGUCAAAGCCGAUGAAGGCAUCUUUCUGGGAUAUUCUCUUACUUCAAAGGCGUACAGGGUUCUGAAUAAGCGUUCUAAACGAAUUGAAGAAACCUAUUAUGUGACAUUCGAUGACAAUUACACCAAGAAGUUGAAGUCUACCGAAGGGGCAAUUGGAGAGAUUUUCUCUCAAACCGGUCAGGUCACAGCCUCAAUCGCUAAUUUAUUUGACCAGUUCAUGGAUUUAUUUGAUGAACUUUAGAAGGCUAUUCACUCCGAAGCCAAGGUAGCAGACAACAAGGUGGAUCACCUUAAGAAGGUUAUCGAAGACGCAGCCAAACAAAUGGCAGAAGAUGAACCGGUUAGAAAUAAACCUCCUCAGAGCAAUACUUCAGUCGAGGGGGAGAAUCAAUUCUCUUCAGAUCGACAGGACUCACAUGUCCAGGGGGAGGUUCCAUCAUUUUCAAUCAACGAUAAUGCUCAUGGCCAGGGGGAGAAUCCAAUCUUUGACGAAACCAAAAGCCCAGCCAGAACCGAAAGUCCAGAACAACCCGAAAGUCCUGUAGCAACCGAAAGUCCGGAACAACCCAAAAGUCCUGUAGCAACCGAAAGUCCGGAACAGCCCAAAAGCCCAGUAGAAGAAGGAUUUUUUGGUUCACAUCCAAAUGUUUCAUCAUCUGACGAGGGGGAGAAUUCCAAUAUGCAUUAUGAUGAUGAUAUUCAAUCAGAGUUGGAAGAAGUGGUAAAUGCUGAAUUGGAUCCCUCUUAUGAUCCAAAUUAUCCUCCUCUCACCAAAUGGACCAGAGAUCAUCCUGUAUCUCAAAUAGUGGGUGAUGCAUCAGAAAAGGUUCUAACUCGAUCACAACUGAAGGCGAAGCAAACUGCUCUAUUCUCCAAAGUAGAAUUCUGCAUGUUUAAUUCAUUCAUCUCCAAAAUAGAGUCGAAGACCGUCAAUACUGCUCUCGAUCAUUCUGACUGGGUUCAGGCAAUGCAAGACGAACUCAAUGAGUUCAAAAGAAAUAAGGUCUGGAGACUUAUUCCAACACCAAAAGAUGCCUCAGUUGUCAGUCUCAAAUGGGUGUUCAGAAACAAAAUGGACAAGGAGGGAAAUGUGAUCCGGAAUAAGGCUCGGCUAGUAGUGAAAGGAUAUUGCCAGGAAUAAGGAAUCGAUUACGAAGAGACAUUCACUCCAGUUGCAAGGUUGGAAUCCGUUCGAAUAUUUCUUGCCUAUGCUGCACACAAGAACCUUGAGGUCUACUAGAUGGAUGUGAAGUGUGCCUUUCUAAAUGGGGAACUUGAAGAAACCGUGUACGUGGAGCAACCUCCUGGUUUUGUAAAUGAAAAGCAUCCAAAUCACUGCUACAUCUUGGAUGAGGCAGUUUAUGGUCUGAAACAAGCUUCUAGGGCAUGGUAUGAAGCAUUAACUAAGUUUUUAAAGAUGUCUAAAUUCAAACAAGGUUCGAUUGACCCAACCUUCUUUCGUAAGAAGGAAGGUAACCACCUUAUGAUCGUUCAAAUCUAUGUCGACGAUAUCAUCUUCGGCUCCACGUAUCCUAGCCUAACAGCUGAAUUCAGGAAGUUUAUGGAGACUAAAUUUGAAAUGAGCUCAAUGGGUCCGAUUAAAUUUUUCCUUGGUUUAAAUAUUAGACAGGGACCCGAAGGCAUCUUUAUCAACCAGGAAGCAUACACAAAGACUCUCCUUGCCAAAUUUGGCAUGAUGGGAGACUCAAAGGUCAAAGUCCCUAUGGCGUUCGGCACCAAGCUCACACCAUCUUUGGAAAAACCGGCAGUUGACAUAAUGCUAUAUCGCCAAAUGAUUGGUUCCCUGAUGUACCUCACAGCUAGCAGGCCCGAUAUAAUGUUUUCAGUAUGCUAUUGUGCCAGGUUUCAAGCAAAUCCUCGUGAACCACACAUGCUGGCAAUGAAGAAUAUAUUCUGGUAUUUGAAGCGAACCACCUCUCUCGGUCUCUGGUAUCCCUCAAACUCAAGUUUCUUCGUUCAAGCCUACUCAGAUGCAGACUUAGGAGGGUGUGGUCUAGACCGAAAAAGCACCACAGGAGGCUGUCAAUUCAUAGACGGGAAGUUGGUUAAAUGGCAAUCGAAGAAACAAACAUGUGUUUCUCUAUCUACAGCCGAAGCAGAGUACAUUGCAGCCGCCUCCUGCACAUCACAAGUGAUUUGGAUCCAAAGCCAACUCCGGGAUUAUGGACUCAAUAUGAAAAAGAUCCCACUAUAUUGCGACUCAGAAAGUGCAAUUAGGAUCUGUCAUAACCCAGUGCAACAUUCCAAGACCAAGCAUAUAGCACUUUAUUAACCACUGAUCAACUGGCCGACAUCUUCACCAAAGCCCUUCCUGAAGCAAGUUUCAAUCAAAUCCUACAAGGCCUAGGUAUGAUGGAAUCGGAGUCAGUACCAAAAACACCUUCUCAAAACUAAAAGUUAGAAGCGAAAUGAACCGAACGCUCGGUCUAUUUCGGGCUCAUCUCACUCCGGAACCGAAAUGAACUGAACUCUCGGUGUAUUUCGGGUUCGGUCCCACUGCACUUGUUUUCGCUUAUCUCAAAAAGGUGAUGUCUUUGGUUGUAUACUUUUGUACAAUUGUUUUCCAAAAAUCCAAAAAAAAAAAUUUGAACCGAGCGUUCGGUCCAUUUCUGGUUCGGUUAAAAAAAAAUUUGUUUGGUUUGUUUUGUUUUUCUCUUUACAAAAAUAUCAAAAUUCCAAAAAAAAAAUUUCUUUCUUUUGUCUCUACUUCUGUUUAUGUUAACAGUUUCUGGAAUAUCGAUGGGGCAGGUAUCAUUCUCACACUUUAUACUAGCUAAGUGUCCCUAGAAGCAUGUUGUUGCAUGUUGUCCAAAGCCUCAACUGAUUUUGAAUAAAGCCUUAUUGACUGGGUAUAUACAAACCUCGUCUUCCCAAUUAGGCUGCUAAAUUUAUUCUAAUCAUGAGCUACCUUACUCUUUUCUCAUAUGAGUUAAGAGUUUUCUGCUUGGUCAUUCUUUUUAUAGCAGAGGUACUUUGGUUUCUUUACAACACCUCAAACAUUUUUCUCCAUCAUAUUUCGGUUCAUAAAUGUAACCCUUGAGACUCUCAGAAAUAACCACUGAGGUUUAUGGUUACAAAAUCUCUGUGUUUAUGAUCUUAGCUUUGUGUCACUACGUGCUAAGUGAAACCUAAAAUUCAAUACCCACUAUGAAUUGACGGUGAACAAUUAAAUUUGCUCUAUCUUUCAUCCAUGAAUUAACGAAACCACCCAAGUGGUUGUACCAUGAAAUCUCUAUUUUUCUUUUUGUGUGAUUGUUAUGAAAUUGUUACAAACCAUAACAUUUCUUCCCAUAGAAUCCAGUUUUAAAUUUUUUUUGAGAUUUCACACCAAACAUUUCCAACAAGUCACUGAAUAUAGUCCAAACCUACUUGUUCAACAGACCACAUCGGUCUCACAGGUACUUCGUUCGAUUUCGGUCUUAUGUCAAGAUCCGGAAUUCUGAACUGAAGCGAAAGCCACCCUUCUAAGCCUCAUCAAAAGAUGCCUUUCAACACUUCUUAACAAGUGCUUGAUCGUAAUUCAACGGGAAACCACACAGACACUUUAAAGUCUCUCUUGACUUUGAAGGAAGAGAUUCGUGCCCGGGAUCCACUGUUUUGUGUCUAUAUUGACAUCACAAUUUCCCACAUAGAUGUUGCUUUAUUUCUUUAUCUUUGAAACUCUAUGCACGAAAAUCUUUUUGAAUUUCCAAAAGUCUGGUUCGGUUCUCUACACGCUACUUUCCUUUAUGUAGCUCCGGUUCUUAAUGAUAUACUCAACAAGGGGAUGCUUUGGUUUUUCUAAGUCCUUGAUUUUAUUUAAUUAUGACAGCUCAUUUAAAAGAUUCGAUGAUGACUUAGCCAGGAGAUUAAAAGGUUUCAAGAAUUCAAAAAGGGAUUUGGUGGGAAGGCGAGCUAAACGGAAAUGAUUUUCUCUCUCAUGCGUAAUCAUCGGGGUUGCAAACUGUCACGUUUCAAUCAAUUCAGGAACCGUUUCGCAUUUCAAGAGGAUUUGGGGGCGAAUUUCUCUCUCACCUCCAUACCCGGUAUAAAGGGUUAAACCCUAGUUGUUUUACCUCUUUACUACAACCUAAAUUUCUGAGCACCAACAAAGGCGGUUUUUCUCCUACUGUUCAUCUUCUUCUUCGAAGCGUUCAACAAUGGCGGAUUCCUCCUCUGUUCACGAAACAUCCAACAUUCUCCCAAUCAGAACUCAGCAAAGCUUGGUCAUCGACCUCACCCCAAUCUCCUAUGAUGCCUUCAUGUAUCCCAUAGUGGAGUGUCUCAAAUAUUCUCCACCGGUUCUCGCACUCUCCAAGGUUGAAAUUGUGCCUAUGGAAUGUCUAUCCCAGAUUUUCUCCACAACUCACUACGACAAAUCUGUUGAUCGCAUCUACUUCGACAUCCUUGACACCAAAACCUCCAUCUCAAAGCAGCGAUUUUGCUGGCUUCUAGGGUUUGAACAUGAUGAAUCGAGGGUUAACCCUGAUUCGAUCUCUGUGGGUCAAUUAUUUUCCAUGUUUUACAACAUGGGUUACACUGAAACCCUUACUACUGUCACGAAGUUCUAGAAGUCAUGUCUUCCUCCUCAAUGGAACGGCUUCUUCACCAUUUUUUUCAAAGGUUUAUCUGAGAGGAGUGCAGGUUCUGAUGGGGCCAGUCGCUUGUUCAUGACAAUUCUUUAUGGGUUGUACAAUGGGAUCAACCACGACUAUGGCUCGGAUCUCUGGCAGCAGUUGAUUCAAAGCCUCGCCUCUACUUCUCGACACACUAAAAUCUCCUAUGCCAGGUUCUGGACGCUUGUCACCAAAUGGGCAAUGGACAAGUAUCAUGUCCCCACUAUGGCCACUUCUCCACUCUCCUCAAUUGGCGUGUUCCACACUACAAAGAUCAUCGUUACUGAUCCCUCCAAGUUCAUCAUUGUUGGCUCAAUUUCUGAGUCCAUGUAUGCUUGUGUAUCAGCGGAGAGCCACAUCAUCAAGACCUACAAGGAGUUUCCUCUUUCGGGUCCGAGAGAGCUGACUGCAGAGAUGCUUCAUUCCAUCAACGACGCAGACAAACUUGCUACCAGGGGCAAGAAACCAGAGAAAGGGAAAGGAAAGAAAGUGGUCAAAGGGGCGAAAGGCCCUACUCCUAAGAAGAGAAAAUCAUCAAAGGCAGACCAAUCACCUCCACCGAAGAAGAAGAAAACAUCAGAGGAGUCGGUUCGAGGCGACUCUCCUCCCCGUUCGCCUUCACAUGAGGUACCUGUUACAAUCAAACCUAUCUCUUCUCCACCUAUCACUAUCUCUACUUCCAUUCCCCCCAUAACUUCCUCUACUUAUAUUCCACCCACUUCUAUUCCUAUACCACCUCUCAUUUUCUCUGAAGCCACAAAAACAACAACCACUGGAGUUCGAACCAACGUAUCUAAUACGGGGGAUCAUACUUCAGCACCCGAACACACACCUGCAACCGAACCCACUUCCACACCCGAACCUACUCCCACAACCGAACCUCCACCAUCGCCUUUAUCUCCCAAUCACUCAGCCGAAACCGAGAUAUUUCUAGGAGGGGAAGAUAUGACUUUCGAUUCAGUUUACUACAUUCCCUACCAGGUUCAGAGUGAUGAUGAUGAUGAUGCUCCUGUCACCAAAAAGCACAUCAAGGAACUUCAUGAGAAGAUUGAUAAUCUCGUCGCUUCUUCCUCCUCCUCUCGGUCCCAUAUCACGAAAGCUUCCAUUCAGGGGAUGGUCGAAACUUUCACCAAGGCACACGAAGCCUCCAUCAACUCUGCUACUGUUGCUAUAGAUGCAUCAACAAAGGCUUGUGCUGCUGCAACCGAAAAAGUCGAAAAACUAUUUCGAGAUGCUACCCUAUUUUUGGAGUCUUUGCAGGGGGCAGCCGAAUCUAAUGUAGCGAAGAUUAAUUCGGUUGUUGAGAAGCUGGCUACUUCCUUUGAAACAUAACAGCACCACUUCGCCAUUCUUCGUCAGACCCUUGAAGCUGACAACAAAUCCUUCCAGACAACCGUUGAGGAUCGCCUGACAAAGCUCCAAGAAGACCUUGCCACAGAAAAUUCUGUGAUGGAUGCGCUUGCACGCAAAACAACUGUGCUAAAACUCAAGAGUCUUCAACUUUCCCAAACUAAGAAGGAGGUUGAUUCUCUUCGAUCCGAGCGUGCUGUAAUUAAGAGUUGUGUUUCGGAUGUCCACGGAGCCCUCUCGAACAUCAUUGAAGCGCAUGACCUGAUUCUCAACUACUCAGUGAGGGGAACUCUUGCUGAGAAACUUGCUCCUACCCUUGCCAUGCUUAGCAAACUUGAGGGGCUUCCUGAGUAAGUGAUCCAUCCAAAACAAGGGGGAGAAGGAGCUUCAAAGGGCAGUAAUCAAUCUCAACCUCCUCCUAUUUCCACAGCUCAAUCCCAACCACCUCCUAUUUCUUCAUCAGUUCCAACUAAAGCAACCGAACCACCAACAACUGGUCAUGCAUCAGGUUUGGGUGCUCAAGACAAAGGCAAAAAGGUUCUCAAUGACAGUGAUGGAGACGAAGACAAAGAAACCAUUGCUGAUAUUUUGAAGAAACAAGCCAGGGACAAGGAACUGAACAUGAAUGCUCGGAUUGCUAGCGAGGCCAAAGCAAAUGAAAGGAGGAUGAAGGAGGCUCAUGAUCUCCUUGAAAGUCGAAAAACCCUAUUCCCUCCAUCGACUCUUGAGAAGCUUGUCAAAGAAGCUAUCGAGUCCCCCCGCAUCCUCUGGCUUGAACCUGUGAUCUCUUUAAACAAGGCUAAUUCUAUUGCCUCUCAAUUCGACAUGCCAUUGACCCGAAAGGCAUUUAUAUUUCAUGCAUUUUCCCACAUACCUGAAGUCCCUCAUCCUCACCCGAAGGUUGAUAGGGAUCUUAUUGAUUUCUAUCUGAGGUUUUCUCAGCCUCAGUAUCAGACGUGGAGUGCACAGAAGAUUGUCAACAUUCGGGUCCUCAAACCCUUUCGGGAGGGUAACUUCACGAACGUCAGAUUCAAAGUCUUGAGGGGGUCAAAAAAAGCCGAACAUGCCAUUUCUCUUGCUGAUCUUCCUAACCUAAAUCCUCACGAUUGGAUCAUCCUGCAUAACAUCCUCCUCACUAAUGAAACUAAAUAUGGGCCAAUCAUAGAUCACUUCAAGAGGAUGUUGGUUUGUUAUAUCAUGGAGGUUGCCAAGAUGGAUCAGGAAAUCGCUAAUGUACUUAGAAAGAUGCCCACCCUCUCCCCAGUCGGUUCUGCAAGUGAUCUGAAUAAAAUGCAGAUGGGGAGGAUUGAUCCGAAGCGAAACUCGGUUAUGUUCACCAGGAAAGAAGGCCAGAAAUGUCUGUUCGCUUUGGCUGACAAACAUCUUUACACCACUUCGUGUCUGGAGCAUGUUCUAGGGAUUAUCAAUCGGUGUAAGAAAAAUUCUGAAGGUGAUAAGAAAUACUUCAAUGACAUGGUCCACUGGUACAUUCAUUUCCGACGAACUAUUCUUGCCCUCAUUCCUUGCCUGUUAAAAACCAUGAAGAAGGUUGAUGCAGCAGGAUCCAGUAAGCCAAAGUAGAGUCUCGCCCCAAUUGACGCAAAGGGGGAGAUUGUUGGGUCCAUUAUGUGUUGCGUCUUGGGCUCGGUCCUUAGCCCAGUUUUGUAUCCGGAUUGGGCCUGUCCAUCUGUGAUUUAAUUAUUAGGGUUUAGUAUUUAUAGAUGCUUGCAUGCAUCUUUGUACGUAGCUGUUUAGUCGAUCAUUCAAAGCGAUCACUAUUUUUAUCGAUUGUAACCCUAAAAGCCUCUACAGUGGAAGUUCUUCAUCGAGCUCUGCUGAGGCGUGAAUCUGUUGAAUCAUUCAGCUCAUUUUUGAUUCAUUCUCUUGUUUGUUAUUUUGUUUGCAUUAUUCUGAUUAACCUGUGUAAGAUCUAAACGAUCAAAGAGUUUUUCAACUCAUCAGUACCGAGAUAAUGGCUUUGAUGGGAGCGCGUACUAUGACAUUCCGAGAGUUUAAAGCUUGCGGAGCACCAGAUUAUCAUGGGGCUAGGGACCCCAUCGCUAGCUGCAGGUGGUUGGCCGAUGUUGCCAACGUGUUCCGUACGAGCCGGUGUCCUGAGGGGGACAAGGUUAGACUCACCUCCUGUCUUCUGAAGGACAGAGUGAGGGAUUGGUGGGAGGAGGUUGGUCACGCCAUUGGCGAUGAUGCCGCGUUGGACGCGAUGAUAUGGAGUGAUUUCUCGGCCAGGUUCAGGGUUGAGUUUUCACUGAUUAUUGAGGUGCCGCAGCUGGCAUGGGAGUUUCAGGAUUUGACGCAGACUACUAAGACUGUGGCGGAGAUCACCGCUAAGUUCAGGGAGAGGGCCCUUCUUGUUCCGCAGUAUGUCGCGGACAAGGAGAUGAAAAAGGCCCGGUAUCACGAGAUGUUGUGGGAUGACAUCAGGCAGUUUAUGAGCAAUUCCAGCUGCAAAACACUAGAGGAUAUGAUCGCAUGAGCUGGGGGUGAGAGAGAUCGAUUUGGAGCAGAUCCGGAAGAGGAAGUCGAAUGGGGUUCAGACAGCCACAUGAUCGGGCAAAAGGCCCAAAGGGUCGGAUUCGAGAUCGAGGGAUUAUCAAGACCGCAGCCGAUGCGGCAAGUGUGGCAGGACACACGAGGGUGCGUGCAGGAGUGGGGGUGGUGGUGAGUCUGGCUGCUUCAAGUGCGGUCGAACGGGUCAUUUUAGCCGAGAUUGUACUGCGACCACCACUUAGGGAUCCGACCUAAUAUGUUUUCACUACAGUCAGCGGGGCCACAAGAAGGCCCAGUGUCCCAGUUUGCUUUCAGCAGGNNNNNNNCCCAGUUUGUUUCCGGCAGGACGGGUGAUGGCACCUGCCCCUGCAACUUUGAGGAUCAUAGAUGGCCGUCAGGGCCGAGCGGAGGCGCCUGCAGUAGGAGGAAGGGCUUUUCAGAUGACUACCAUGGAGGCGCAAGCAACGCCGGAUGUUGCAGGUGCGUAUCUUUUAUUUCCUUGUUGAUUUGUAUUCAUGAUUAUAUUGUUAUGGUUCAACAUCGUUAUGGAUAUAAGUAUUUCAGAAUUGUGUGGCUUGCUUGUGAUUUAGUUAUAUGCCAUCUGCAUGCCUGGGUUAGUAUAAUGAUAGUUAGGGGUUGUGCCCUUUUAGAGCGAGUCACCUAGAAUGCAGUAGCUAUAGCAUGCUUAUGUGGGACUCAGUAGUGUCCCGCUAGAUUCAGGAAGGUGUUAUCGGGUAACAAAUUAGUUAGAUCCCUAGUUGUGGCAAGCUUGGGUUGUCAACAAAUCGAUUUCGGGAUAGUAGAGAAGAUUGGGAAUUCUUCUCAAGCAUUGAGCAGCGAGGUAUAAGCAGGAUCAAAUUGGGGGAGAACCCUCCGAGUGUACAAGGGUAUGAGCACGCAGAUCCAGAAUGAGUACGCGGCCGCAAAGAAGGAAUGGAAGUGGCACAUCGAUUGAUGGGCUGAGGGGUCCAGGGUUGGGAGUUUGAGAAACUCCCAAUGGAUUAGUCCGUGUAAUUGUGAUGGUUAGUAAAUGGUUGGGAAUUCAGGUUGGAGGAUCGCCUGUAGGACUCGGGUGAGUUAGAAUGAGGAUCUUGGGAAUUGAUGGCAUGGGAUGCUUUCUUUUUAGCAGUCAGUAGUGGAAAGUGUUGUAAGACUACGGGGCAGCCAUAGCACUCACUAGCAGUCAGUGGUGGAAAGUGUUGUAAGACUACGGGGCAGCCGUAGCAUUCACCAGCGGUCAGUGGUGGAAGGUGUUGUAAGACUACGAGCAAGCCGUAUCAUUCCCUAGUAGCUUCGUUAGCGGAGUUAGGGCGAGGCCCUUAUCUCUUUGAUCAGGUAGGGAUCAAGAAUGAGUAGUGGCUGAGAACAGUAGGGAGCUUGCCUGUAUAGCCUAGAGAGGUGAGACCUUGGGAGAGGCCGCUCCAGGAUGUAGUUGGGUGGCACCCGUGGGCAAGGCCCGUAGGUGAGUAUCAAUGUAGAUGAGACCUGAGAGUAGGGUUGCUCAGUAGUAUGGUUCGGGUGAGACCCGUGGGCGAGGCUCGUGAGCUUGUAGUAGCACAGGUGGGACCUAGUUAGGACCUUAGGGUCAAGUUAGGGGAUCGAGGAUCCCAGGACUUGUAGCGCCAGAAUGGUAAAGUAGAAGGGGGCGGUAUUAGGUAGCCUAAGUUUCCUCGGAAGUCGCUAGGAGCGACAAGAAGUUUGUUUUGGGGCUAGAGACCGAUGGGAGCCGGUAAUCCAGAUAUUGAUAGAUCAAUAAGGACCAGGGUGGUCUCGGUUCAUCCCGAAGGCAGAUAAGGGGCAGCAGAAAUUUUCGGUCAGUAGCAGUGAUGGUAAGCAGUCUAUGGUGGAAUUCAGUUAGUUUAUCGAGGGGUGCUCAACACCAAGUUACAGUAGUGAGAAGUGUCCAGUGGAUACUGGCGGUUAUGGCCCGUACUGGAAGUAGCGAGAGUGAUGGAUUCGGUGAAGGUUAGGACCUUCACAUUGGCAGAGGUAGGUAUUUGGAAUGUUGCCUUGGGAAGUCCAGAAAACGCACAAGGAAAGAAGGGGGGGUGAACCCCUAGGAUGUCUAACAUAAGUACUCGAGGAGUACCAGAAGGAUUGUCAGUAGAGUAAGUUUUGUUCCCAGAAUGUUCAGGGUCAGGUUUGACCCGAGAUUAUUAUCCUUAAGGAUUAAUGAUAGUCAGAAUAACCGGGCAGAAAGCUAGUGGAGGUAGUUAGCGGGUGUUAGGUCUUCCCAAGAAGAGUGUUGAAGGCAGAUUGCAGGAGGGUUGGUCGUAGAGAAACUUCGAGGAUGAAGUUUAGUUUAAGUGGGCGAGAGUUGUAACACCCAUAAUCAGAAAGACCAAGAAAGGAAAGGAAAACCCUAAGUCAAAGGUUCAGCUCGUCGAGUCCAGGGAGGGACUCGGCGAGUCGAAGCGGGAUCCGAGGGAUCGAUUAAGUAGCCGACUCGGUGAGUUGGCAAAGAGGACUCGGCGAGUACAGUCUGAAGAGGGAAACCCUAAAUCCGGGACUUUGUGCACUAUUUAAACAUCUCAUUCUCCUUCUAUCAGCCUCAUUUGUAGCACCCAUUGUCCAGAAGUUAUCCCGCGAAACCCUAGUGUUCUCUUUGAGUGUGUGAGCCAAUAUUGAAGGAUUUUGAGUGUUCUUGAAGCCUAGAAGGAGAAGAAGGAGUUGAGGGUUCAAGAGGAAAUUUGUGGAUCCAGAAGAUUCAUCUCUUUUGCUGCUCAUUUUGGUAACCAAGCUCCUUCCUUGUCUUGUUAUUUGUUAGGAUUCUUCAUGUCCCUCCUUAUGAGAUUUUGGACCAAGUAUGAUGCAUUUCGGGAUGUGGACGUCCUCAAGAUGGAUCCCUUCAGCUCUAGGUGUGUCUUGGCCUAGAGACCCAUAAAGUAUCAGUGUUUGGUGUGUUGGUAAAGCAUCUUUGCCCCAAGCCCUAGCCCUAGAGUGUUUUAAGCCCAUAUAUCUUUGGUUUCACGUAAAGUUUGCAACUUUACGUGAGGAAUAGACUUGGGAAGAGUGGAUCUACAGUUUGGAGCCCGAGCAUGGCUCGAAAAGCCACUAUAUGGAUUAAGAGCGGAAGCAACUCGGCGAGUCACAUGGGUGGACUCGGCGAGUUGGAUGAAGAUAGGCAGGAACUCGACGAGUUGGAAGAACAACUCGGCGAGUCUGUUGAAGAUUGCCUUGGACUCGGUGAGUCUGUUCUUGGACUCAGCGAGUCAAGUCGCGAAACCCCAAACCCUUCGAGUUAAGACUCGGAUCAAUGAGUUGAGUGGGGACUCAGUGAGUUGGACAGGUCAGGACCCGAAAAUUGGUAGACUCGGCGAGUCAGGGGCUGACUCCGCGAGUCAAGUCGCGAAUGAAAGGAUUCUGAGCUAAUGAACUCGGUGAGUCAGUAGGCAGACUCCGCAAGUAGGGUUGACCUGGCAGGUUGACUUUGACCAGAGUUGACUUAGUUGACUUUUGGAAAUCAGUUAAGCUAAGUGAUAUAUGUUUUGGUUAUUCGUAGCUCGAGGAGUUAGUGGAGCAACGGUUCAGGGAAUUGGCGGUCAGCAUCCAGAGGGGUUACCAGCAAGUUCAACAGUAGGAGGUGAGUUUCCCCUUUGUGUGAAUGGGUCUACGGCCAUAAUGCCGGCCCAUGUAGUUAUGAGUAGGAAGACCCGGGGGUUAGCCCUAGGCGCAGUAUGCUAGAAUAAUAUUCAUGACCAAGGUCCAAGGAUAGCGGGAGGGUGCCCAGGGAAUGGUUUAUAUGAUAGUUAUACUUGUUGUCUGUGUGAUACAUGUAUGUGCCUGGUAGGGAGGUGAGUGUGGGCGAGGUCCCGUAUCUCUCCAGUAGCAGAGUGUGGACGGUGUUGCACAUCUCAUUAGUAGCAGAACAGGGGAGAGGCCCAAGUUAGGGAAAGAGUGAGUGUGGGCUGGGCCCGUAUCUCACUAUCAGUAGGAGCGUGGACGGGGUUCCAUGACUCAUCAGUAGCAGGGCAAGGGUGAGGCCCAAGCUAGGCGAGGCCUCAUGACAGAUUUACUAGUAUAUGUUAGCUUAUGUAUUUGUGAUAUGCUUAUGUGUUAGUAUACGUUAGCGGACGAGGCCCAGGGAUGGCACUACAACACUACACUGCGGAUGACCGGGAAGGUUAUCGGAACCUCNGCCUGGAGCGGCGGGGCCGUUGUAGCGGGCGUGGCCCAGUAUAUGCUGUAUGUGUUUAUGCAGGGUAUGUGGUAGGUUGGGAAACUCACUAAGCUUUGUGCUUAUGGUUUUCAGUUUUGGUUUCAGGUACUUCCGGUAGCGGAGGGAAGAGCUCGGGGUGAUCGCAUGGCACACACCAUUGAUUAGUCUGCCUGGGAUGUUUUACUCUGAUAAUGUAAAUAUGUUUUGGAAAUGAUGCUAUGAAUCCAUGUUAUGACUUAUGAUAUGUUUUUAUGAAUAUGGUUUUGGUAAUGAUUUAAAGAAAUUUUUUGGUACGAAUUUUAGGACGUUACAGAGUCCAUAUCUGGUCGACUGACCUUACUCCCGUCUCUACUCGUCGAGUUAGGCAUUGACUCGACGAGUUCACUUCCUAACUGAUACUCAAUGGUCCUUCAUCUGACUCGCCGAGUUGUAUGAACAACUAGUCGAGUUAAUCUUCAUCCGAUGAACACGUUCUGUCCUCGACUCGCCGGGUUGAUGAACAACUCGUCGAGUUCUAAGAAGAUUACCUUGGACUCGCCGAGCACCUUCGUGCAAUCGCCGAGUCCCAUGAACUUUUAGAUUAAUGGCUUAGUCCAGAACGUUGGGUCACUCCCCGGAGACCCCCUUAAAACCUUUCCACACUCAACUUGGUCCUUUCGACCCUCAACAGAAUGGGACAGAACCCCCUAGACUCGUCGAGUCCAAGAAUGGACUCGCCAAGUUGGUCACGUCCAUACCCUAAAUCUUUGCUUUCUGAUGUACAUCCUUUGAUCAAAAGGUAGAUCCACGCUUCUACAAUCGAUCUAGCAUGUAAAGUUACAAACUUUACGUGCUUGCAUGGGACUUUGAGCUCAAAAGAACAUAAAACAAGCUCAUAUGACACAUGGGACCUUUCAUGGGUGCAAAAGCAACCCAAAUCUGCCUAGUGACUCCUCUCAUGUUGUGAUUCAGAAGCUUAAACCCCCAACCAUGUUUGCAAACAUGGUUUGCCACCAAAAAAUAGCUCAUAAAAGCCUUAAACCUCCCCAAAAUGAAUGAGGAAAGUCACAACUUUUUACCUUCAAUGAGCUGAAGAAGGUGCACAAACUCAGGUUCCCUUGAUCUCUACUUGCUUCCUCAAGCUUCUCUCCUUCCUUCUUAAGAUCACAAGCACCAAAAUCCACC
rnacentral:lncRNA from 1 species